rnacentral:lncRNA from 1 species
CCUGAGCUAACAUCAGUGCCCAUCUCCCUCUACUUUAUAUGUGGGAUGCCUACCACAGCAUGGCGUGCCAAGUGGUGCCAUGUUCGCACCCGGGAUCCCAACCAGCAAACCCCAGGCCGCUGAAGUGGAACGUGCAAACUUAACUGCUGUACCACUGGGCCCCCCCACCCCUCCUUUAGUCUUAAUACCUUUUUGCCCCAGUUGUAGUGCCAGGCCAAGUAAAACUUAUGGAGCCUUACAUCUAUUUUCUCCCAUAUCUCCUUGUCCCCCUGCCCCAAACCAGCUCUCCUGGUGAACCCCUGGGGCAGCCUGGACUGUGGGCUCAUUGGCCACUCUUUCUUCAGAAAUAGUUCGAAGUAUUUUGUAGGAAUAAUCCGCAGUCUUUGGCGGUGGUUUGACCAGUACGAGAAAGGAGGCUCAUGGGUUAGAGUUUCCCCAGGGCUCCCAUGAGCUCCCUGCCCCGUCCUUUGCCAGGGAGAGCCUUUGCAGGCUUGCAGAGCAGUGCCCCUGGCCCACGCUCCGUGCACCUGCUUAUUGAUAACUGCGUGUCUGAAUGUGCCUUGUGUCAGAGCCCUUUGGUUUGAAUUUGCCGAGUACUGAGCGGCUGAGACGUGAGAAAAUUAUGAGCAGGAGAGAGACGUGGUACCCUAUGACAAGAGGCAGCUGUGGUGAGAGGGUAGGCACGAUGCCUGGGGUGAGCGCCAUCUGGGCAGGAGGCCUGGCUCCCAGCUGUGGGGGCUCCGGAAGGGCAGAGCCUGGGAGGAACGAUUUUGAAGCCACUACUAUGGAGAUUAAGGGGAUGAGAAUGUAAAUCUCAAGUAAAAAGGUAAUUGAAUGUAAUAGCAAACAGUGCUCGCUCUAUGUUAAUUUUAGCUCUUCCCCUGGAUACAAGGCGCUGUAUUAGUGUUUUAUUACCAUUUUGUUUGCACUAAUAAAAUAGUAAAAUUUAUUUCAAGGAAGUUGAAGGAUGGUUUUACAAUGCAAAUUUGAAGAAAUUGGACUUUUCAUUUAUGCCUCUGCUAUUUUAAACCCUGACGGGUGUAAAUUAGCUACAGGGACCGAGCAGACCCCACUGAUGGGGACUUGGGAGGCGGGAGCUCUGGCAGAGGUUCUAGACUGGCUCAGGGCAGAAAGCAGG